rnacentral:rRNA from 1 species
AUUGAACGCUGGCGGCAGGCUUAACACAUGCAAGUCGAGCGGAGCGAGGGUGCUUGCACCUUAGCUUAGCGGCGGACGGGUGAGUAAUGCUUAGGAAUCUGCCUAUUAGUGGGGGACAACAUUCCGAAAGGGAUGCUAAUACCGCAUACGCCCUACGGGGGAAAGCAGGGGAUCACUUGUGACCUUGCGCUAAUAGAUGAGCCUAAGUCGGAUUAGCUAGUUGGUGGGGUAAAGGCCUACCAAGGCGACGAUCUGUAGCGGGUCUGAGAGGAUGAUCCGCCACACUGGGACUGAGACACGGCCCAGACUCCUACGGGAGGCAGCAGUGGGGAAUAUUGGACAAUGGGGGGAACCCGUGAUCCAG